UACGUAGGGGGCGAGCGUUGUUCGGAUUCAUUGGGCGUAAAGGGUGCGUAGGCGGCUUCCUAAGUUUGAUGUGAAAUCCUGGGGCUCAACCCUGGAACUGCAUUGAAUACUGGGAGGCUAGAGUACUGGAGAGGAAACUGGAAUUUACGGUGUAGCAGUGAAAUGCGUAGAGAUCGUAAGGAAGACCAGUGGCGAAGGCGAGUUUCUGGACAGUUACUGACGCUGAGGCACGAAGGCCAGGGGAGCAAACGGG
rnacentral:rRNA from 1 species